rnacentral:rRNA from 1 species
UACGUAGGGUGCAGGCGUUAAUCGGAAUUACUGGGCGUAAAGCGUGCGCAGGCGGUCUUUUAAGUCAGAUGUGAAAUCCCCGGGCUUAACCUGGGAACUGCGUUUGAAACUGAAAGGCUAGAGUGUGGCAGAGGGGGGUGGAAUUCCACGUGUAGCAGUGAAAUGCGUAGAUAUCGAGAGGAACACCUGCGGCGAAGGCGGGUUGCUGGGCUGACACUGACGCUGAAGCGCGAAAGCUAGGGGAGCGAACGGG